rnacentral:tRNA from 1 species
AGUAAAAUGGCUGAAUUUAGGCGAUAAAUUGUAAAUUUAUAUAUGGAAUGAAAUGUUUCUUUUACUA